UUCCGGUUGAUCCUGCCGGAGGCUACCGCUCUGGGAGUUGGAUUAAGCCAUGCUAGCGGAGGGCAGUUCGGCUGCCCCGCGGAUAGCUCAGUAACACGUGGUCAAUCUACCCUUGGGCCGGGGAUAACCCCGGGAAACUGGGGAUAAUCCCCGAUAGACGGGGGUUCUGGAAGGGUCCCUCGUCAAAAUGCUCCGGCGCCCAAGGACGAGACUGCGGCCUAUUAGGUAGUUGGUGAGGUAAAGGCUCACCAAGCCGAAGAUGGGUACGGGCCCUGAGAGGGGGAGCCCGGAGAUGGGGACUGAGACAAGGCCCCAGGCCCUACGGGGCGCAGCAGGUGCGAAACUUCCGCAAUGCGUGAGAGCGCGACGGAGUGACUCCCAGUGCCGAUGGUCCAACGACCGUCGGCUUUUCUGGAACUUAAAAUGUUUCAGGUAAUAAGGGCCGGGUAAGACUGGUGCCAGCCGCCGCGCUAACACCAGCGGCCCAAGUGGUAGCCGCU
rnacentral:rRNA from 1 species